AUUGAACGCUGGCGGCAUGCCUUACACAUGCAAGUCGAACGGCAGCACGGGAGCAAUCCUGGUGGCGAGUGGCGAACGGGUGAGUAAUAUAUCGGAACGUGCCCAGUGAUGGGGGAUAGCCCGGCGAAAGCCGGAUUAAUACCGCAUACGACCUACGGGUGAAAGCAGGGGAUCGCAAGACCUUGCGUCAUUGGAGCGGCCGAUAUCAGAUUAGCUUGNGGUGGGGUAAAAGCCUACCAAGGCGACGAUCUGUAGCUGGUCUGAGAGGACGACCAGCCACACUGGGACUGAGACACGGCCCAGACUCCUACGGAGGCAGCAGUGGGGAAUUUUGGACAAUGGGCGCAAGCCUGAUCCAGCCAUGCCGCGUGCGGGAAGAAGGCC
rnacentral:rRNA from 1 species